GCCGGGCUUCUGGCCAAUCAGCAGGCGCGGCGCGCCCUUUGGUUCCCUCCAGCGAGCGCUUGCCGCCUCGGUUCCCGCGACCCCAACGUCCCAGAGGCGGGGCCGCAGUCAUCUGAGACGCUACCUGGAUCCUGACUCUGCGUGCCCAACAAACGGGCCCAACAACCAAACCCUAGCUUGGCGGCGGCCGUGACAACAGCGACGGUGGAUCUUUGAGCUCCUGAUUCCCCGAGGCGCCCUACGGGCCCGGGAAGCACGGUACUGAGGAUUACAAAUUGACUAAAUCACUCACCAAAUAUAGAGCCUGUAGUUCCUUCAGCCUGUAAUUCCAGAUGAAUACCAGGUUUCCUUCAAGCAAGAUGGUACCUUUCCAUUUUCCCCCAUCAAAAUUGGCACUUUGGAACCCAAUGCCAAUUGGAGAGUGCAUCUACUUGCAUCUCAGUUACUACAGAAAGCCAAAGCUUAUGGUAACUGAAAAGGCCAUCCGACUUGCUUAUCGUCAUGCUAAGCAGAAUAAAAAAAAUGUGCCAUGCUUCUUACUUGGUUCUCUCACAGUGGAUGAAGAUGAAGAAGGUGUGACAUUGACCAUAGAUCGCUUUGAUCCUGGUCGAGAAAUACCUGAAUGCUUAGAAAGAACUCCUACUGCUUCUCUUCCUGGAGAUUUUUUGAUUCCCUGCAGAGUUCAUAUUCAAGGACUUGGUUCAAGGGAUGUGAUAGUUCAUAAUGCAGAUGACUUCAGUUCAGCUUUAAAGGCUUUACAAUACCAUGUGUGUAGCAAAGAUUUCUUGGACUGUGGAAAGUUGCUUUGCCUACGAGCCCAAAUCACCCCCAGGGAGAGUUUAGAUGGUGUGGAUUUUAACUUGCAAUGGACAGCAGUAACUCUAGCAAAUUCCUUCAAGUGUGUGCCUGUGAAGCCUAUCCCCAUUAUCCCUACAGCACUUGCAAGAAACCUAAGUAGUAAUUUGAAUAUUUCUCAAGUUCAGGGAACCUAUAAACAUGGAUAUAUUACUAUGGAUGAAACUCGCAAACUGUUACUUUUGCUGCAAUCAGAUCCCAAGGUCUCUUCUCUCCCGUUAGUGGGAAUCUGGCUGGCUGGAAUUAUACAUGUCUAUAGCCCUCAGGUAUGGGCUUGCUGCUUGAGAUACAUGUUCAGUUCUUCCAUUCAGGAAAGGGUUUUUUCAGAAUCUGGAAAUUUCAUCAUAGUUCUUUAUUCAUUGACACAUAAGGAGCCUGAGUUUUAUGAGUGCCUUCCUUGUGAGAGUAGGACGCCCGACCUUCAGUUUCAGUUACUAACCAACAAGGAGACUUUGCAUCUUUUCAAUAACGUUGAACCUUCUGGCAAAAACCCAAUCCAUUUUGAACUCAGUGCCGAGAGUCAAGAUGCCGAAGCCGAGGCAGAGGUUCUUAGCAAGAUUUCCAAGACUCUUCCAGUGAAGAGAUCCUCCCAAAAAUUAUCUCCUGGGAAAAUACCAAUAAAUAAGCAUGACACUGACCUUGAAGAUGAAGACUUUUCUCCAAGACCGAUUCCUAGUCCUCACCCAGUGAGUCAGAAGAUUUCUAAGGUCCAGCCAUCUGUUCCUGAACUUUCGCUCGUGUUAGACAACAACUUCACAGAGUCAAGUAACCAGUCUAACCCUUUGGAAAUGAUGACUGUGGAGAAUCCUUUAUUGAUUAAGCCAUCCCAGCCUGAGCUUUGUGAUGCCAAACACAGCUCAGAAGCUACCACUGGGGAGCCUUUCCGGAGGGGCCCAACAAAUCAGUUAAGUCAGGACACUGCUUUAAGACAGAGCAGAGGGAAGCAGUCAUCUACCUGUAAGAAAGAGAGUCUCCAGUUCAGGAACACUAAUGCUAAACCAUCUCUCAGUGUGCCAUCUCCUGAUGUAGCUGAGAAACUUCAAGCAGUUUCUGCUGGGAGCAUGCAAAAGGAAGACUACCCUGUGAGACCUUCCACACUGGACUCGAGGCAGCCCUCUCUUGCUCCACAAGCCCAGCCACACAAUCUUGUUUUUUCAACUCAUAAUUCAACAAGACCAAUGGAGCUUCAAGUGCCCACUCCUUCAUUACCAUCCUACUAUCCCACAAACGUCUGCAGCUGUUGUCAGCAUCAUGGCCAUAUUCAGUAUAGUACAAUAAAUUCUUGGCAGGGAAAUACAGUAGGGUCUAUUCAAGACCUGCGAUCUGAGUCCCUUCCAAAACAUGCCUUCUUUCACUCAAGUGGAUGCCCAUCUCUGUGUCCUAAUGCCAUCUACUCGUCAAGUAGCCCUGUUAGCAUGAAGCAAGGAGGCAUGGGUGCCUAUUCUCCCCAUAGCAAUGGAGAACCGUCUCCUGUGGCAGGACCUUCACAUGUGGACUCGUGUGUGCCACAUCCCUGUGCCAUGUGCAUGCACAUGCCCAAUACAGCACCAGACAAUGGCAUGAUGGGACUGUCUCCUGAUGCAUACCGUUUUGUCACAGAGCAAGACAGGCAGCUGAGACUACUUCAGGCACAGUGUGGCCAAACACGAUCAAUUCUGUCUAAAGUUAAUAGAAGGAAUCUUGUAUAAAAUCCUCAAUUUUGAGUGCAUGAAACUCAAGAUCCAGCGCUUAUUAGAAGCACAAUCUCUAGAUCCUGGCUCCCAUAAGACAGUAGCCACCGUGGAAGACACCGUGAAAGCAGCAAAACAAAUGGAGCUGGUUUCCAUGGAAGCACAGUCUUCGCCUGGCUUGCACAUGAGAAAAAGUGUAAGCAUUGCUGUGAGCACAGGUGCUAGCUUGUUUUGGAAUGCAGCAGGUGAUGAUCAAGAGCCCGACUCACAGCCGAAGCAAGAUGAUACCAAGAUUUCCAGUGAAGACAUGAAUUUUUCUGUAGAUAUUAAUAAUGAAGCGACAAGUCUUCCUGGUAGUGCAUCUUCCUUAAAAGCAGUUGACAUUCCUAGUUUUGAAGAAAGCAACCUUGCUGUGGAGGAAGUUAAUCAGCCACUUCCUGAAUCCAACAGCUCUUCAGAGCAGAGCAAAGAACCUGGUGUUCCUGUGUUCUUCCCAAAUGCAUUGCUGGCUGAAAGUGUGAGCAUGUGCUUACAGACUGCGCCAACAGAGGGAGCCAGUAACAGCACUGAAUUACCACAGGGAACAAAAGAUGAGCCUUACCGGCCAUCAGAUAACCAGAAAAUUUACCAGGACUUGUUGGGCCAAGUGAACCACCUACUAAGUAACGCCUCCCAAGAAACCGAAGAACCACCUACCAAAGCGGUAGUUACCAACCGUGAAUGCGCCAAGACCCAAAAUACUCACCAUGCAAGGAAAAAAAGACACAAUUCAGGACUGGUAGACAAAGAUUGUGUACUCAGUGCAACUAUUAAACAGCUAAGGAGCCUAGGAGUGAAAAUCGACUCUCCCACUAAAGUGAAGAAAAAUGAACAGAAAGUGGAUCAUGCCAGUGUUUUGGCCUGCAUCAGCCCGGAAGCAGUGAUCUCUGGAUUAAACUACAUGUCGUUUGGUAAUGUUGGCAUGAGCAGCCUAAGUCCCACUGGUGUGGAUCUGAGCAUGGAGGCCAAUGCCAUUGCUCUGAAGUACUUAAGUGAAAACCAGCUGUCACAACUGUCUCUUGCUCGGUCAAAGCAGAAUAACGGUGACUCCUCUGUCGGCCUUCUACAUAUUAAUUCAGACAGGAGUACAGUGGGGCUUAGCUUAGUUUCACCAAGCAACAUGUCAUUUGCAACCAAAAAAUACAUGAAGAGGUAUGGACUCUUACAAAGCAGUGACAAUAGUGAGGAUGAAGAGGAGCCUCCCAGCCACGCAGAUAGUGAGAGCGACCAUGUGUUGAACAGAAACCCAGCAUGCAGACCUGUGCAAUGUGGUCAUGAGAAAGAGCCUUCUUGGAAUGCCUGUGAAAUAGCUCAGUGCUCUGACUGUGGCUCUGCGGACACACGCACAGAUGUGCCAGUACUGAGAAAUAUCACAAAUCAAGCUGUGCAGCCUAGAGCAACAGAGCACUUGAAUGAAGACUCUGCUAUUUCAUUAAGGAAUCUUAAGCCAAACCCGGCAAUGAACCUCCGAACUGGAAAGGCAGAGUUUACUCAUCAUCCCGAGAAGGAAAAUGAAAGAGACAUUGCAGUUUUUCCCGGAACCUUGCCAUCUCCUGAGACUUUAAAACAAAUGAAUAGCAUGGAUUCUGUGGGCACCUUCUUAGACGUAAAGCGUCUCAGACAGUUACCUAAGUUAUUUUAACUCUUCAUUUCUCUUUUUGUGGUGUGAGGACUGGGUGUGUAUUGAUGGCACUUAAGAAAUCCAGACCUUUGGGAUUAAGACAGGGUUUCUCUGUGUAGCCCUGGCUGUCCGGGAACUCAAUCCAUAGACCAGGGUAGCCUCGAACUCACAGAGAUCCACCUACCUCUGCCUUCCAGGUGCUAAGUAGGACUAAAGGCUUGCAUCAUUGCCUGGCGGCCAUGACCUUUGGAAUUUCUAAUACCUUUUAGAGUCUUUUCCCUAUUAGUAGCAAAUUAACAUUGGCUGGGGGUUGGGGGUGGUUGACCCAGUUGUGAGGUGGCUUCUUAGUGGGAAGGCUGGGUUUAUUCAGCAUCACUGAACCUAAAACAGAAGCAAGACUCUAAGACCAGGUGCCGCAGCUAAUCAAGUUCAAAUGUGUUUCCCUGUACCCCAGGGCCUUGCAUUUGCUAAUGGGCUCCAUUACUGAGCCUGACCACUGAGCUAUAUCCUCAACUGUAGAUUUUUUAAAAGAAGGUCUCAGGUCAAUCUGUAGCCUAGGCUGGCUUCAGACUUAGAAUUCUGCCUUCCUCGUCUGGCUCAGGUAUGCACUUUACCCUGUGUCUCCCAAAAAUAGUUUUUUUACAUAAUCAUAGUUUGUUUCCAAACUAAGAAAUUACAUAGACACAAUACUGCAUAAACAGCAGAACUUUUCAUUGCCUUGGGUUCUUAUUGGUGGGAUGAGGCAGUGCUGGGGUUGAACCCAGGUACCUCACACAAAGUGCUAUAGCACUGAACUUUAUACCUCAGUCCAUGAGGUGUUCUGUGUACUCAUUGAUUCACAGUUUUUGUGUAUAGAUACAUGAAAUUAUAUCGCAUAGCUUCCACUAACCUAAGACCUGUCCUCCCUCCAUCCCUACCGAUAGCCCUACCAUCACCAGAAUGUUUUUAUCAUUUUAAGAACAUUUCAUAAACAGAAUUGUACUUUUAAAAACAAUUUUUUAUUUAGCAUUCUACCUUUUGAAAUGUACUGUCUUACUCCAAAUAAUAUCCUGAGAUCUAUCCAAGUGUUGGGUGUGUUGGUAAUUAAUUCUUUUCUUAUUCUUUACUUCUAUUCCCCCCCCCCCAAGUUGUUUCAAAUUGUUGUUUCCAAAGAAAAAAGAAAAGAAAAAAAAAAACCCUCAUUGACUUGAAAGAUUUAGGUUUCUGCUGAAGUUAAAAUGUGGUUGCCCUGUAUUAAAGCUUGUCUCAUAACUGAAAAAAACUGA